rnacentral:rRNA from 1 species
AACUGCGAAUGGCUCAUUAAAUCAGUUAUCGUUUAUUUGAUAGUACCUUACUACAUGGAUACCUGUGGUAAUUCUAGAGCUAAUACAUGCUGAAAACCUCGACUUCGGAAGGGGUGUAUUUAUUAGAUAAAAAACCAAUGCCCUUCGGGGCUCCUUGGUGAUUCAUAAUAACUAAACGAAUCGCAUGGCCUUGCGCCGGCGAUGGUUCAUUCAAAUUUCUGCCCUAUCAACUUUCGAUGGUAGGAUAGUGGCCUACCAUGGUGGCAACGGGUAACGGGGAAUUAGGGUUCGAUUCCGGAGAGGGAGCCUGAGAAACGGCUACCACAUCCAAGGAAGGCAGCAGGCGCGCAAAUUACCCAAUCCCGAUCCGGGGAGGUAGUGACAAUAAAUACUGAUACAGGGCUCUUUUGGGUCUUGUAAUUGGAAUGAGUACAAUCUAAAUCCCUUAACGAGGAACAAUUGGAGGGCAAGUCUGGUGCCAGCAGCCGCGGUAAUUCCAGCUCCAAUAGCGUAUAUUAAAGUUGUUGCAGUUAAAAAGCUCGUAGUUGAACCUUGGGCCUGGCUGGCCGGUCCGCCUCACCGCGAGUACUGGUCCGGCUGGGCCUUUCCUUCUGGGGAACCCCAUGGCCUUCACUGGCUGUGGCGGGGAACCAGGACUUUUACUGUGAAAAAAUUAGAGUGUUCAAAGCAGGCCUUUGCUCGGAUACAUUAGCAUGGAAUAAUAGAAUAGGACGUGCGGUUCUAUUUUGUUGGUUUCUAGGACCGCCGUAAUGAUUAAUAGGGAUAGUCGGGGGCGUCAGUAUUCAGCUGUCAGAGGUGAAAUUCUUGGAUUUGCUGAAGACUAACUACUGCGAAAGCAUUCGCCAAGGAUGUUUUCAUUAAUCAGGGAACGAAAGUUAGGGGAUCGAAGACGAUCAGAUACCGUCGUAGUCUUAACCAUAAACUAUGCCGACUAGGGAUCGGGCGGUGUUUCUAUGAUGACCCGCUCGGCACCUUACGAGAAAUCAAAGUUU